AUUAUUUGCGAGAGUUUGCUCAUUCUUUUGACGAGGAGGAUGACCAGACCUACUUUGCUCUCUCUGGGGAAGAUCUCUUGGAUGCUUAGGCUCCUUUUCAUCCCACCUAGGGUUUGCUUUUCCAUUCUUCUCCACUUAUUCAUCUAGUUUCACCAUGUCUAUGGUGAACUAAACCCUUUUGUUACUAGGGAACAAUGUAAUCUUUUGAAUCUCUCUUAUAUCGAAACUCUUAUUUAAUUAUAUGCUUGCAUAUGUUUUGAUUUUCAAUUAUUGGGUUUUCCUUCUGCGCUUAAUGCUUUUAUCGUUUAACUCAUUCGAUAAUUGUUGUUUGUCUUUAUUGAUACGGGAACGUACAACAAUGUCAUGAACUGGGGAAUAAUCCUUGAUUUAUGUAUAUCACCAAGGAAUAGGGGGGUUGAACAAUCAAUUGUUGGUCACUUCUGUUUAUAAUGCGUUAUUGGUUACUAGGGGAGGCUAGGGAUAGCAAGCCAGUAAUCUUUAAUAGGUUCUUUUCGCCAAGGGAUUGGGUUAAGGGUAGGCUAAGAAAGUUGCAUGGUAAUUGAAUAAUCAAACGUAUUAAAUAAGGGGAGUAGAUAUAAGAGGGUGGAAAAAGGUGAAAUUGUAAACCCUAGCAACUCCAUUCAUUCAUAGUUUCUUCCUCAAUUGAAUCAACACAUUGCAUGUUUAUUUUCCUGUUUUUGCAUACACCUCUUUUAAACUUUUAUUUCUACAAGUCUUACGAUUUUGGUUCACACGAAAGAUAAGGCCUUGUGAGUCCUUUGGGAAAACGAUACUCGGACUUACCGUUUAUUUAUUACUUGCACACGAUCUGGUACACUUGCUAGUGACUCAACAAGUUUUUGGCGCCGUUGCUGGGGACUCAUGGUUUAACUUAUCUAGUAGUGUGAAUUGAUUGAAUUUGACUUGAUUUUAUGUUUGUUUUUAUUUUUGUUUUAAUAAAUGUUUUCUAGGGUUUUGUGCCUAACUUUUGCAGAAUGCAGUACGAACAAGGAUUUGAUUAUAUGGGCACUUAAUUCUACCAAAAUAAUUUCAACUACUGGUGAGAACCUCAUUCAUAUUUGGAUCAAAGCCAAUUUGGGCAAGCUGUUGAGCAACAAUUUGCUCCAAUUAAGAGGAAUAAAGACUCUGAAGAAGUUUUUCAGAGGAUCAUGAAUUUGAAAUCGUACCAUGUCAAGAGUAUAGAGGAGCAUGUAAAGAAUGAUGAAUUUUUUUCACACGGCAUGUAUACAAGAUUUUCUUCUCAUAGAAGCAUGGAAGAGAUGCAACAAUAUCAAGGGCAGCAACAAUACUUUUCACCAAUAGAAACAUGGGAAUAUGAUCAACAACUUUGCCAACAGAUUGCUGAUGUGACGGAAAACGUCAAAAGCCUUAAUGAAAAGUUUGACAAUCUUCUGGAGAGGUGUAAGUCCAAGAGCUAUGAAGUUACCUUUAGGAAUUUGGAGACACAAAUUGGUGAGGUUGUUAAUGAGGACAAGAUAGAGAGAGAGGUGAAAAAGAUAGAAGAUAUAGAAACAGAAAAGGUUGUUGUUGAGGAGAAGAUAGAUGAAGAAAAGAUAGAAGAAGAAGAGAUAGAGAUAUUUGAAGAUAAGAUAGAGGAAGAAAAGAAAGAUGACAUAAAAACAGAAAAGGUUGUUGCUGAGGAAAAGAUAAAGGAGAUCGAAAUAGAAAAGUUGAGUGAGGAGAGGGAAAAAGUAGUGGUUGAGACAAAAGAAAAAAAGAAAAAAUAUGCAAAAAUAAAGAAGAAAAGAAGAAAAGAGAAAAAGAGAAAGUUGAGAAGGGAGAGUGAGAAAAAGAGGAAGAGAGGAAAGAAAAGAAGAUCAUAUGCAAAACCCCUUCCUCUUCAAAAGAAGUAUCAUAGGAAAGAAAAGAAAUUUUUGUGCUUCAUGGAGAUCUUCAAGAAAUUGGAGAUUAAAGUUCCUAUGAUAGAAACAUGGAAACAGGUGCUUGGUAUGAUUAAUUUUCUGAAGAGAUUCAGUAGGAAGAAGAAAAAGAAAAGAAUAUCAAGCGAAGGGAGUAUCAACACCUACUGAUGGGUGUUCUAUUUUUUUAUCUUUCUAUUUUUAUUUUUCUAUUUUUAUCUUUCUGUUUUUAUUUUUCUAUUUUUAUUUAAAAAAAAUCUUUUUCUGUUUUUAUUUUUCUAUUUUUAUUUAAAAAAAACGAAAAUUAAAAUAAAUAAAAAAUAAAAAAAAGAUUUUUCUGUUUUUAUUUUUGGGCUAAUUUUGUGCUCUAGUACAGUGUUCUUUGGUGUAUGCAAGAUAAAAAUUUUGGUACUAGGAGCACAAGAUCAUCAGGAGGCAGAUAAGGAAGGAGAAUUGGUUCACCAACACCCUGAUGUGAAAAGUGACGAAGCGUAACCUGGCACAUCAAUGAGAUUCAAAAUUAGGUUAUGGGUUGUCAAGACUAUCAAAGAAAAAAGUUGAGGAUCCUUAGAGUUGGUGACAAGAAAAUUUCUGAAAUUUUGUUGGUGUCAUGAAGAAAGGGCCAACGCCAACAUAAAAUAUCAACACCUACUGAUGGGUGUUUGGGCUUUACCGGGUCAAGCUAGUGACGUUAAAGAAGUGCUUACUGGGAGGCACCCCAGUGAUCCAAGAACAAUAUUUUUGUACUUUAAAUUUUUAAAUCUUGGUGAUGUAAUUAUGAACAAUUUUUAAAUUUUUGUGAAUUGGGUAGCUUCUACUGAGGGAAGCUAAAAGAAUUUUAGGUACUCACUGAAGGGUACAGGAAGGUACAUCUACUGAAGGGUGUUGGAAAGUUAAGCGCUUACUGACAAGUGCUAUGCAGGUUUGGGUCAGGCUCGUGACGUUAAACAAGCGCUACUGGGAGGCAACCCAGAUUUACUUGCUUUGUCUUUUGAAUUUCGCACUUUUGAGUUCCUAGAAUAGGUUGAAUUUUAUUUUGUGUCUGCUUGGCUUGUAUACUUUUCUGAAAAUGUUUGACUCAAUAACUGUGUGAUGAAACUGUUUGAUGAUGAUUUGAUGUGGUUGAAAAAUUGAGAUGUGAUGCAUGUUAAUAUUUUAAGAAACAGAUGAGUGUGAAAUUAUGAUUGUGAUUAUGAUACUAAGCAGGAUGUAUGAAUGAUUACUGUGUGAGAAAGCAUGUGUGAGGAAUUGAGCUUCAGAGUUUUUCAUUGUGUAUGUAUUGUUCACAGGGAAGCAUGAAUGAUAUUGCUUAAGUCUUAAUGAUUCAUUGAUUUUCAUGUGAAGGUCAUAUGAUCAAGGCCAUUUUUUAUAACCCUUUUCUGGCCAAAUUUUCACCCUCAAUGCUUAAUUGUUUAUACCCUUUUCGAACCUUAACCUUAAACAAUAUGUGAACGCUUAUUUUGUAUGUGUUAUCUUGAGUUGGGAUGAGCUGAAAUAUAAUUGAUUCAAAGGUUUAAGUUUGGGGUGGCAAGGGGGAAUUUGAAAAGAGUAUGAAAAGCAUUGAGCUCAAAAGAAUUGGAAAGAAAACAUUCAUGAGAAAAGAAAAGUAAAGAAGAAAAAGCAUGAAGAAAGAGCUCAAUGUAAAAGAAAAAGGAAAAGGAAGAAGUGGGGAAUAAAGGAGAUUGGUGAAGAAGAGAGUUAUGCUUGAUUGUAAAUGUUUUAGCUCUCUUAACUCAAGAACUUUGAAUUCUAGAAAAACCAAUUUUCUUGUUAGCUCAGCCUCAUUACAAGCCUUGAAAAAGUCCUUUUGAUGGCAUUUGCAUGCAAAGAUUUUGAUUGUUGUAGAUGAAUGGCAAUUUUGUUUUCUGUGACUUGUGAAUGAUAGAGAGAUGGAGUGUUACCCUAAACACUUGAGUGAUUGAGUGUAAACACUUGCCUUGUGAGAAUUAAUGAUUUCAUGAUUGCAUCUGUGAUUAGUGGAUUGGUCAUUCAUAAUAUUAUCAUCUGUUGGAAACUAAAUUGAAUUGGAAACAUGUUUGCAUCUUGAUUUGAUUCCACUAAAGAUCUUAAUUGAGAAGUUUUUGUCAUGCAUGUUAGGAAUGUUGAAUUAUUGGAUGAAAAAGUAAAAGGCCAAGUAUUGUUUUGUGUCUUGUUUUGUUUGGUUUGCUUGAGGACAAGCAAAAUUCUAAGUUUGGGGUUGUGAUAAAGGUUUAAAAACAGCUAUUUUCAUAUGUCAAAUCAGACCAAAUUACACCCUUUAAGGCUUAGAAUGAGCUUAGAAUCAUGCAUAAUUCAAUAAAUGAGUCAAGUGAGAGUCAAAAGUUGUUUUUAGCGAUAUUAUGUUUGUUUUGCAUUGUUUUGCAGCUAUUUUAAGGAAAUGGGUGUCGCUGCCUAAUCAAAUUUGAUUGCAUAAUAAGAAAUGUAGUAUAGCUAGGGAAUGACCCUAGGUCGUCUCUCAAGGACCAAACUGCGGUUCAGAAUCAGGUCUAACACAAUGGGGGGUUUUAAAAUGUUGUUUGUGGAUGAUGAAAAAUUAAAAUGAAAUUAAAACAGUAAAAACGAAAAUUCACGCUGGAACUAGACAGCUCUGACCUUUGCUUAAUGUUUUAACCAUAACUUUUUCUACAAAGCUCUAAAUGAGAUGAGGUUUUUUUUCCUGGAAAGUAGACUCAAUUAUCUUUCAUUUGAUAUAUAAAACGUAGCAUUUGAACCUCUGGUGUGGUUGCAGUUAUUUUUUUAAAAUCGAGUCCAGAGAGUGAAAAUGCUAAACCCAAUAUUAGAGCAAACAAUUAUCUAGCACAACCAAAAUUAUUAAAAUGCAAUACUAAAUUAAAUAGAUAAAAAACCACUAAACAUAUAAUGUUAAACAUUCUUAAGGCAAAAGAAAAAUAUAAAAAAAAUUAAAAUAGCUUCUACCAAAUUCACGUGACAUCAAUUGCAUCUACCAAAGAAAUUAAAUUUGCAAAGUGACUUAAACCUGCUUGGCCGUGGCUGCCAAAAUUGUCCAGCCCAUCUUAUCAUCAUUGAAUCCCACCAAAUCACAUCUUCAAUCUACCUAAUCUCUUUCAAUUCAAAAUAAAUAAAAGAAAACAACCACCUAGACUAAUUUACUUACCAUUUCACUAAAACAAAAAGAACCUAUCACGUCCCAUCACCUAGACUUUCUCCUAAUCUACCUUUUAAAAGCAAACAAAGAUUAUAUAUAUAUAAAAGCAACCCUCUUCUGGACAUAAGCAAAGAUUGAACGUGAUGCACCUUUUCCUUCAAAAACCAAAAGAAAGUGUUUUUAUUUAAAGUAAAUGAAUCCCCCGUUAUCUCAACUACCACCGUGAGAAAGAAAUAAAAGUGCUUCUCCAAUUGCUAGAGUUCUCCCCUCCAAGAACGUAAUGUGCAGAGUUCAUAAUCUGCAAAGUUAAAUCACGGCUGCUGCAGCAGUGCACCUAAUUCAUUCACUGUUUGAAACUAUUAAAAUAAAAAGAAAGAUGCUCAUUCAAAUAUAAAGGAAAGUAAAAUUGCAGCAGCGUGUAAAUUUCAUUCUCCCAUUCAUCCAAAAUCCAUCACCAUCAACAUUGGUUCAAAGAAAAUUGCAAUGUGUAAAAUAAUCGUUCCAGCAGCACUCCUCCUUAAGAGAAUGACGGCUGGUAGCUUUUUGUGAUCCCUAGGACCAUGUGUCAUAAAAUUGGGGUGGGGUCCACCCUAAAAAAAAUAAAACCCUAGGGUGCCAAGUGUCCUAUAAUUUUGGGCCCUCAUAUUUUUGCCAACAAUGGCCCAAUGUGUAAAAGUUUGUUUAACAAGUUUAAACAAUUAAAUUACAAGAUAACUAAAAUUUAAAAUGUCUAAUUUGAGAGUCUUGAAAUUAUUUGGUGUCCUCCAAAUGUCCCAAAUUGUGUUUCCAAAAUUUUCCCUGAAAAUAAUAAUGCAAAUAAUUAGCUCAGAAAAUUCAAAUUAAUUAAAAUUAGAAUUUCCGAUCAAAUUAAGCAUAAUUAGGAAAAACGGGUAAAUACCGGACAAUUAAGCAAAAUUCAUUGAUUAAUUCUAGCACAAUAAACUAAGUAAAAUCACUAAAAUAUCGACUCAUCAAGAAGAUUGGUGUUGAAGGUAAAGGUCAAAGACUCAAGAAAAGUGAAGAAAAAUGAAGAAAAGAAGAGUCGAAUGACCGUCGGGCGGUAGACCCCUGCCGCCGGGCGGUCAACUGCGUGGAAAAGGUACCAGAAUUGGACGCCAGGCGGAUUUGCGAUUCGAGGCAAACCGUCGGGCGGUGGACCCCUACCGCUGGGCGGUGGCACGACAAAAGACCCCUACCGUCGGGCGGUGAUGUUGGGCCUGGGCCUGUUUUUUUACGACUCCCCUCAGUUAUAAAUAGAUUAUUUGCGAGAGAUCACUCAUUCUUUUGACGAAGAGGACGGCCAGACCUACUUUGCUCUCUCUGGGGAAGAUCUCUUGGAUGCUUAGGCUCCUUUUCAUCCCACCUAGAGUUUGUUUUUCCAUUUUUCUCCAUUUAUUCAUCUAGUUUCACCAUGUCUAUGGUGAACUAAACCCUUUUGUUGCUAGGGAACAAUGUAAUCUUUUGAANCUCUCUUAUAUCGAAACUCUUAUUUAAUUAUAUGCUUGCAUAUGUUUUGAUUUUCAAUUAUUGGGUUUUCCUUCUGCGCUUUUAUCGUUUAACUCAUUCGAUAAUUGUUGUUUGUCUUUAUUGAUACGGGAACGUACAGUAAUGUCAUGAACUGGGGAAUAAUCCUUGAUUUAUGUGUAUCACCUAGGAAUAGGGGGGUUGAACAAUCAAUUGCUGGUCACUUCUGUUUAUAAUGCGUUAUUGGUUACUAGGGGAGGCUAGGGAUAGCAAGCCAGUAAUCUUUAAUAGGCUUUUUUCGCCAAGGGAUUGGGUUAAGGGUAGGCUAAGAAAGUUGCAUGGUAAUUAAAUAAUCAAACGUAUUAAAUAAGGGGAGUAGAUAUAAGAGGGUGGAAAAAAGUGAAAUUGUAAACCCUAGCAACUCCAUUCAUUCAUAGUUUCUUCCGUCAAUUGAAUCAACACAUUGCAUGUUUAUUUUCUUGUUUUUGCAUAAACCUCUUUUAAACUUUUAUUUCUACAAGUCUUACGAUUUUGGUUCACACGAAAGAUAAGGCGUUGUGAGUCCUUUGGGAAAACGAUACUCGGACUUACCGUUUAUUUAUUACUUGCACACGAUCUGGUACACUUGCCAAUGACUCAACAUUUCCCUCUUUGCCGCGCCACCGCCCGGCGUCAGGGGUCCACCGCCCGACGGUUUGCCUCGUACCGCAAAACCGCCUGGCGUCCUAUUCUGGUACCAGUUCCACGCGCUUGAUCGCCCGACGGUAGGGGUCUACCGCCCGGCAGUCUUUCGACUCUUCUUUUCUUCAUUUUUCUUCUCAAAUCUUGAGUCUCUAACCUUUACUUUUAGCUCCAAUCUUCACUUUCCUCAAAAACGCUGCAAAACAAUGCAAAACAAGCAUAAUAUCACUAAAAACGACUUUUGACUCUCACUUGACUCAUUUAUUGAAUUAUGCAUGAUUCUAAGCUCAUUCUAAGCCUUAAAGGGUGUAAUUUGGUAUGAAUUGACAUAUGAAAAUAACUUUUUUUAAACCUUUAUCAUCUGCCAGAUGAUUUUAAAACAGCAUCUAAAUUGUCUCUAUCUUGUGUAAACUUAGCUGGAGUGUUAGUUAAGUAACCAAUCUUUUUAAUAUGUGUAGGACAAUUUUCACAUACUUUUUCAACUGUGACAGUUUUAACUACAACAUCUUUAGCAAAUAAUAAGGCAUCAUUAAGCUCCUUUUCUAAUUUCUCAUUUUCAGCAACAAGGUUAUUAAUUCUAUGCUCAUAAUCUCUCCUUUCAGAGUUCAGUCGAUUAACCUUAUAUUGCAGUCACAUAGCUUCAACAUGCAUUUCUUUGAAUGCAUCUUGCAGCAGAUCAUACUUGACUUCCACUGGUUCAUUUGAUAUGUCUACAUCACUGUCAUAAUCGUCCCAUGUUACUCCUGUCAUAUAACACAUAUUUGAUUCCUCUUCAUGAUCAGAAUCUUCAUCACUUGAGCUUUCAGAAUCUGAGUUCUCCCAAGCAAUGUAGGCUCCUUUCUUCUUCAUGUUUCUGCUUUGAGGGAAUCUUUUCUUUCCUUUCUGUUUUGGCUGUAAGUCAGGAUAAUCAGGCUUAAUGGGACCUUCCUUUCCACAUUCAUAGCAUUGGACAACAUUUGUACUGAAGCUCCUCUUUUUGUUUUGACCUGCAUGGUUAGACAGUUGACUAUCAUUUUGCAUAAGUCGACUAAACUUUCUUACAAUCAAGGUCAUCUGUUCUUUUUCGUCCAUGUCUGUUUCUGUGUUGUUCUUGCUUGAAGUUUUCAGAGCAAUGAACUUCUUUUCUUCAAUCUCCUCUUCAUCCUUUAAUCUACCGAGUUCCAACUUAUGUUCACAUAGUUUGCCAAACAAGGUAUCCAUGUUCAUCGUUAUAAGAUCCUUGGAUUCAGAGAUUACUGUGAUUUUUGGUUGCCAAUUUCUUUCAGACCUUUCAAAAUCUUGAUGUUGAUCUCUUCCUUAUCAAACACUUUGCUGAGAGCCAUUAGAUGAUUUACAAUGUGAGUGAAUCGUUUCUGCACAUCAUAGAUGUUUUCACCAGCCUUCAUUCUGAACAAUUCAUACUCUUGUAUCAGGGAGUUCUUUCUUGCUCUCUUGACCUCAUUCGUGCCUUCAUGAGUUAGCUCUAAGACAUCCCACAUUUCCUUUGCAUAUUUGCAUUGAGAUAUCCUGAAAAAUUCAUCAAUUGUCAGUGCAGAGGCAAUUAUAUUUCUAGCUUUAACAUCAUACUGAGCUCUUCUAUUUUCAUCAGCAGUCCACUCAGUAAAAGGUUUUGUAGGCACAAAUGGACCAUUUAAAGUGGCAUCCAAAAUUUCUUUGUCUUGCGAUUCAAGAAUGAUUUGCAUUCUAAUUUUCCAAAAAGGAUAGUUUUCA
rnacentral:lncRNA from 1 species